rnacentral:rRNA from 1 species
UCUUUGCAGUAAUGCAAGGCAUACGGCUCAGUAACACGUAGUCAACUUACCUAUGGACGAGGAUAAUCUCGGGAAACUGAGCAUAAUACUCGAUAUGAUCAUAAUGCCUGGAAUGGUUUAUGGUUGAAAUGAUUCGUCGCCAUAGGAUGGGACUGCGGCCUAUCAGCUUGUUGGUGAGGCAAUGGCCCACCAAGGCGAUUACAGGUACGGGCUCUGAGAGGAGAAGCCCGGAUAUGGGUACUGAGACAACGACCCAGGCCCUAUGGGGCGCAGCAGGCGAGAAAACUUUGCAAUGUGCGAAAGCACGACAAGGUUAAUCCGAGUGACUUCUGCUAAAGAAAUCUUUUGC